GUAGAUCCGCUGAAGAAGCUAACUGGCUAACUGACCACAUAAACAUUACCUCUGGAGGUUAAUUUUCUCCGCGAAAAAACUGCUUCUCAGCGGGAUACAGAGCACCGAGUCUCCACUGAGAUGUCUGAAAAGGAAGAAGAUUUCAUUAGAAGCAGCUGCAGCCAUCUGGUCCUGGGCCCUCCAAGAUGAAGAGGGCGGAAAGCAACCAAACCAGUCACUGUGGACUUCUGAAGUCCUCCUUACAGAGAAGAUGAAGACGGUAUGAAGCUCAUGAUCAGAUGAAUUGGUUGGACAGUGCCAUGGAGGUAUCUCCAGACUGAUGACGAGCUGAGACUUUCUACUUUGUCUGCUAGCCGUAACAACACUGGUUCUUCAUGCAGUGAUGAUGAAGGUACAUUUUCCGUGCUACACUGCAGUAUCUUCCCCGGCCUGAGGCAGGACUGUCUGGACACUGAAGUCAACGGGUUCCUGCGUCCCAUGCAGAAGAAUGACGGAGAGGAUAAUGUGACUAAAGCAGGUCAUAGAGAACUUAACUGUCAGACUUCCCAUGAGACCAAACUCAAUUAUCCUCCUGUAUGUUAUGUGAGAAGUGAAUUAAUCACUGUAUAAUGUUUAGGCUCGGGAACAUACACCCUGUUCUCUCUGCUCUGUGGUACAGAGGACACCCUGCCUUCUCUAACAUGGUUCCCAAGCUCUGCAGUCAAAUACUGGCCCGAGAAGACCAGCUAAACAUCACAGUCUAUACACACUUUCCUUUCAUGAUAAUAUUCAUUUCAUUCCUAUACCACUAAUCACAAACAGGGUGCUAUAGAGGACAAAACCAACCAAACAUGACAAUAUAAAUGUUAUAACACCAUCAUGUCCCCCCUCACUGUUUAAAAUCCCACCCACCCCCACACUUUCACAGUCUCAGUUAGAUGCUGAUACUUUGAAUUUAAUGUAUAAAAUUGGUGCACUUCCCCUUUAAGAGGAGCACACUUUGUACUUUGUCAUUAUAAAGAUUCAGGUCACUGCCAAUAAAAGUAGUGCUUGUGUAGUAAUAAUCCAGAGAUUUACAUAGCAUUUCAUUUUUUCUGGUUUUGUUAUAAUUAUUGCGGAAAGUAUGAUAAUGAAUGUAAUUAUAUUUAUUUGCUAGAUUGUUUUUUGUUGUUGUUGCUGAUUUAACCUCUGAAUUCAUUG